CAGUUCCCUCCUUUUUUGAUUUUAAAUUUAGUCAGUUAUUUUCAAGCUGCCUCCUGAUUAUUUUCACCUGUAAAAGCCCUGAAUCAUCAGUCUUGCUGAAUCACCUGCAGACUAACAACACAAACAGGUAAGAGAGGAAAAUAAUCAUCAUUUACUGUUAAAAACAUUAUGAAAAUUGAAGCUUUGUGUGUUCUUAUUGUAAUUUAUUUAUUUUAUAGCAGGUAAACUUUAUACUGUAAGCUUCAUUCCCUUUAUAACAGAGAUUUCAUAUGUGAGGUAAUCUUGCUGGGAGUGAAGGCAGUGCGUAUGACCACUUGAUAUGAGAGACACAUCCUGUUUUUAAAGGUGGAUCAUGAGUGAAGCUCUGCAGGUCGGCCAUUGACUUGAUAACAGGGGUUUAUUUUUAUUCAAUUUAUGAAUAAAUCUCUCGCCAACCAUUCACCUAUUUUCUGACAAAACAGAUCCAAAUCUUGUUCAGCCUGAUGCUCAACCUUGUAUGAUGAUGACCACAGCCAGGUGAUGGAGAUCUGUGUUAAUCACAGCCUGCGUCUUAAGAUCAACAUGACAAUAGCGGCCAUCUUUUAUCUUACUCUUAUCUGACUAAAUGUUCAGCAUCAUUGACACAAAACAAAGAACAUUGGAUGGAGUAUGUACUGUACAAUGACCCAGCAAACAAAAUAAUAUGGACUUUUUUGGCGAGAUUCUAACAUUGACACAAUCCUAUUGACUAUAAUUUUUACAGUUAGUAAUGUAUCAUUAACAUCCCAUUCAUUUG